AACUAAUAACAAAAGUAACAAUACUUUACCUUUUUUAUUGAGAAGCACGUGACUUUAAUUCAUUACCCUCUUUUCACGCCACUUUACAUUUACAUUAUCCUAUUAUCACGUCAAUUUAUCAAUUUCAAUUCCCCACAACAUUAAUUUUGUGUAGAUUCUUUAAGGCAAGAGAUCUCAAUGUUGAGAAAACUAUUCCAAUGUGGGAAGACAUGCUUAAGUGGAGGAAAGAGUUUGGAGCAGACACAAUAUUGUAAUGUGUUUCGAUUGCAAUGCUAAGAAUCCAACUUGGACAUCGAUGACGUGUGGGAUCUUCUUGUGUAUUGAUUGCUCCGCUGUUCAUCGCAGCCUUGGCGUUCAUAUCAGUUUUGUUAGCCAAGGGAUGCCGUUUCCGGCGAUGGAUGGGAUGGUGGUUUCAAUUGAAUCCGUCAAAUUUGGCGUUUUUCGAUGAAUUUUCGAUGGAGGGAGGGUCUAUCCGGCAGAUUUCACCGUGAUAGUGACUGACAGCGAAAAUAAUGAUGUUUUACCGGCGAGUAUUAGCCGGAAUCGAUCACAAAAUUGAAUUUUAGUCGGUGAUUUGUUGAUUUUGUAGAUCCGGUGAGAAACGGGCUUAGCCAUCAUUUUUAUAAAUUUUCGAUGAUGUGGUAGCGACGGAUUGAUAUAUUUCGACGAAAUUGCUAUAAAAUAUAAUUUUUAUAGUAUAUAUAUGUAUUUGUAUUUAGUAAUGAUAAGAUUUGUAUUUGUUACAGUGUA